rnacentral:rRNA from 1 species
GACGAACGCUGGCGGCGUGCCUAAUACAUGCAAGUAGAACGCAGUUGCGAACGGGUGAGUAACGCGUCGGUAACUGCCUCAUAGCGGGGGAUAACUAUUGGAAACGAUAGCUAAAACCGACAACUGUGAGCUGGACCUGCGUUGUAUUAGCUAGGUGGUUGGGUAAAGGCUCACCAAGGCGACGAUACAUAGCCGACCUGAGAGGGUGAUCGGCCACACUGGGACUGAGACACGGCCCAGACUCCUACGGGAGGCAGCAGUAGGGGAUCUUCGGCAAUUGACGGAAGUCUGACCGAGCAACGCCGCGGGAGUGAAGAAGGUUUUCGGAUCGUAAAGCUCUGUUGUUAGAGAAGCGGUAACUAAACAGAAAGGGACGGCUAACUACGUGCCAGCAGCCGCGGUAAUUC